AUGAUAAUUAUGAUACAAAGGCCAUGAAAUGUUCCUUCCCACAUUGAGGAAGUUUCUGGGGAGCCAGAAAUGAUCCUUCUUGACUGUGACAGUCCUUAGGUGUUUGCUUUGUAACUGUUCAAUAAACUGCGUGCUUUAUGCACUCUUCCCUGUCAGUGACAAAAGUGUUAAGAAAGAAUUCUCUGCUUUUACCUGUGAGUCUUCUACUGGGAACUUAUUCUAAGAAAAUAUGCACAAAGAAGUCCUCUGUACCAUUGUCUAAAAGCAAAACUGGCAGUUAAUGUAGCCCCUAAGAUGAUCCAUGGAACUUACUAAAAUAACUUCCCAAGAACCUACGGAGCAUCAUGUAAUGAUUCAACCUUAAACAGUGUUGCUGGGGAGGACUGUGAUACGGAUUUGAAGCAACCACAGUUCCGUGCUGUAGGGAAGACUGGAAACACACUGAAACCGCCUGACCGCAAACGUCCAUCUGCACUGAGCAUGUCCAUUCCGCCUGACCAGUGAGUCGUGCAAAGACUAUCCAGGACUCCACUAGAGGAUUUAUUAUGGGAAAAACCUUCACUUUCCUAGAGUAGUCACAAACAAGGGACCCUGUGAUCAGACACUGCCAGAGAUGGCUAGUGGGCAUUUCUAUCAAAAAUGCUAACCUGCUCUUUCCAUCAGACACUCUAGCUGGGGACUGCAUAAUUCUCAAGACAGGCUUGGUGGUCUUAAAAAUAUCUUAGCAAGCACCAGCAUAACCAGGUAGGAA